GCCAGAUCGGCGCCUCUCUCACUCUCCUCCUGACCUCGCCGAAACCCCCCUUCCAAACACCUACUCCCCGAACCCCGAAGGCGAUCCAUGGCGGCGGCGGGUUGGCUCCGGCGAGCGGCAUCGGCGGUGGCGCUGCCUCGCAUGCCGUCUGGACUCACCAUCAUGCCAGCCCCUCCCCCCGCUCCUCUCCCCGAGGCUCAGUCCCUCGUGCUCCCCGGCCUCGGCGCUGCCAUCGCCCCCGCGAUGGAACUCAUGGCCGUCCCCAAGAAGAAGAUCUCAAAAUAUAAGAGGGGUUUGAGAAAUGGACCCAGAGCCCUGAAGCCUGUUCCAGUAAUUGUCCGUUGCAGGUGCUGCGGGCGAGUGAAGCUGCCCCACUUCUACUGCUGCAGCGGAGAAAAAGGGAACGCCGGCGACUCCAGCUCAUAAACACCGGCUUUGCGCACGAAGCCGUGGCAGGACAUCUUAGUGCAAUGGAAAUCACCAGAUAUCGCUUUGUAUUCCGCUGCCUUCUCUUUGCGAGCAGUAAUCUACAUAGACUUUAGUUUGAUUUGCAUAAUCCCAUGGCGAACUUUAGUGAUGGUCUUUGCCAGGAGCGUGGGUGCUCUCUGAGAUGAGUGAUGGUUGAUUAUGUGUUGCUACCUUUCAGUAUGUAGGACGCCCCGUUCCUAUAUCAAAAUAAAAGGGGAAAACGGUAGCGUGUCUUUGUUUUGAUCAUCAUAUAGAACCGAGAAAUUAGACGUCUGUUCCGUCUCCCAUGGAAAAAAGAAGAAGAUAAAUUGGAUUUGGACAUUUUGGUUGUGACCGGUUUUUUUUUUGUUUUGAAAGUUAGCAGGAGAGGCCGAUCGGUUUAUUAGAGGAAAACUGGGUGAAAACCUUUACGAUGGAAGGAAAACCGGGCGAAAACCUUUACGAUGGCUGUGAGCGUGUGUUGCCUGUACUGAUAGUACAGACGGAAACCGGUACUCCAGUUUCAUGGGCUGUAAAAAUUGGCAGACCAGGAAAGAAAUAGAUGCCGCUGCGAGAUCUGGGGUGCCAUUUCUGUCCAUUUCGUGCCGAUGCGAUAUCGUGCGCGGCACAGGCGCACGGCACACACACGCAUGACACAUCCAGGGGGCAAAUCUCGUCAGGUAGGCGACGAAACGGCGGUCGUUGGCUCGGCUCGGCCGCCAGCCCGCGGCCACCAACCAAAACAAUCCCCCCGAACCGACGGAGCGUGCCGCGCCGAGGAAAGGAAGCCCCCGACCCCGGAAAGGCGCUGCGAAUUCUGUGUGGCUAUGGGGUCAGCGAGCAGAUAACGAAACGGAGGCUGCGGCUGCGCCCGGCGAUUCCCCCCCUGCCCCUCUCGUAGGCGCGCGCGCGUAGCCCCCACCAAAUCGGCCAGCGCUUCCUUCCAUUCCGCCAGAGGCAGAGCGGCAGCGAGAGAGAGAGAGAGAGAGAGAGAGUUUUGGUUGGUGGACACGCACAGUACAGAUGGCGUCGCCCUCCUCCUCGCUCUGCUCCAGCCUCGGCUACCCGCGCGCCGCCUCCCUCGGCGCCCGCCGCCGCGCCGGCUUCUCCUCGUCCAGGAAGCUAUUCCAAGUGAAGGCAUCAAGGGUCGACAGUUUCUCCAAGAGCGACAUCAUUGUGUCCCCUUCCAUUCUCUCUGCAAACUUCGCCAAGCUUGGUGAACAGGUAAAAGCUGUGGAGGUGGCAGGAUGUGACUGGAUUCAUGUUGAUGUCAUGGACGGUCGCUUUGUGCCAAACAUCACGAUUGGACCAUUGAUUGUUGAUGCUCUGCGUCCAGUGACUGAUCUUCCAUUGGAUGUGCAUCUGAUGAUUGUGGAACCUGAGCAGCGAAUUCCAGAUUUUAUCAAGGCAGGUGCUGAUAUUGUUAGCGUCCACUGUGAGCAAACAGCAACCAUCCAUCUGCACCGAACAGUCGACCAGAUUAAAAGUCUAGGAGCAAAGGCUGGAGUUGUCUUGAACCCCGGGACCCCACUCAGUGCGAUAGAAUAUGUACUUGAAUCUGUUGAUCUGGUAUUGAUUAUGUCAGUCAAUCCUGGUUUUGGUGGGCAGAGUUUUAUUGAGAGUCAAGUAAAGAAAAUCGCCGAUUUGAGAAAAUUAUGCGAAGAGAAGGGAGUGAACCCCUGGAUCGAGGUUGAUGGCGGAGUCAGUCCCAAAAACGCCUACAAGGUCAUUGAAGCUGGAGCGAAUGCCCUUGUUGCUGGUUCUGCGGUCUUCGGAGCUAAAGACUACGCUGAAGCUAUCAAAGGAAUCAAGACCAGCAAAAGACCUGUAGCCGUAGCAGCAUGAAGAACCGGAGUAUGAGCAUGUUACGCUGUGUAACAUUUUUUUUACCAUUAUCGUGGUUUGCAAUGCAUAGGUGCCUUUCACUGUCAAGCCAUACGUUGUAUCACAGAGAUCACCAUCAUCAGAUAGGGAAAAAGAGGCAGCACAGAAAGAUAGUUUCUUUUUCCAGUUGUCUGCGACUGCGAGGAUGUGUAUAUCUUGUACUAUGUCCACUCCAUAACAAGGGCAACGAACGACGUGUCCUGUGUGAUAACAUUACCGCGAGCUCAGGAUUGUUCAUAAU
rnacentral:rRNA from 1 species